UUUGAGAUACUUGAUGAGGCAGAAGUCACAUGGAACCCGUGGACUCAGGACCAGCUAAAAAUGGUCUUUGAUGCUCGACACUUCACACCAGGCAUGUUGACCGAUAGUGCAUUCUGGCUGACUCGCUGCAACUUAUUGUUCCUGUGGUGUGUUGAACCUUACAACCCAGAGCGUGUAAUGAGACAGUUCGGUCUCUAUCAAGAAAUUCCACCACCUUUUCCCAGACGUAUCGACGAGGAAACACAUAAGCUAACCAAUAUGGGCAGGGGUUGGAGUUUAUACGAUUGGAGGGAAGAGAACAGUGAAUGGGUACACAAGUGGACAAAUGAAGCGCUAGCAGAUAUAGUGCGUCAACUUAGGCCGUACGAUGGAAGUACAGAUCAAGCGUACAAGCAGUGGUACUGCAUGAACACACGUGCUAGCCU